GACGAACGCUGGCGGCAUGCCUAACACAUGCAAGUCGAACGGUAAGGCUUCCUUCGGGAAGUACACGAGUGGCGAACGGGUGAGUAACACGUGGGUAACCUACCCUUGACUGGGGGACAACCGAGGGAAACUUCGGCUAAUACCGCAUAACGUGCAUUGCCUUAAGGUGGUGUACCAAAGCUCCGGCGGUUAAGGAUGGGCCCGCGGCAGAGUAGCUGGUUGGGGAGGCAACGUCUUACCAAGGCGACGAUCCGGAGCUGGUCGGAGAGGACGAUCAGCCACCGGGGAACUGAGACACGGUCCAGACUCCUACGGUGGGCAGCAGGGGUGAAUCUUGCGCAAUGGGCGAAAGCCUGACGCAGCAAUGCCGCGUGAGGGAAGACGGCCUGAGGGUUGUAAACCUCUUUCAGCAGGGACGAACACAGACGGUACCUGCAGAAGAAGCCCCGGCUAACUACGUGCCAGCCGCCGCCGUAA
rnacentral:rRNA from 1 species